CCUACGGGUGGCAGCAGUGGGGAAUAUUGCGCAAUGGGCGAAAGCCUGACGCAGCGACGCCGCGUGAGGGAUGAAUGUCUUCGGAUCGUAAACCUCUGUCAGCAGGGAAGAACGGUCACUGUGCUAAUCAGCAGUGAAUUGACGGUACCUGCAAAGGCAGCACCGGCUAACUCCGUGCCAGCAGCCGCGGGAAUACGGAGGGUGCGAGCGUUAAUCGGAAUUACUGGGCGUAAAGCGCUCGUAGGUGGUAUGUCAAGUCAAGGGUGAAAGCCCCGCGCUCAACGUGGGAACUGCCUUUGAAACUGGCAAACUGGAGUGUGUGAGAGGAUAGUGGAAUUCCAGGUGUAGGAGUGAAAUCCGUAGAUAUCUGGAGGAACAUCAGUGGCGAAGGCGACUAUCUGGCACAUAACUGACGCUGAGGAGCGAAAGCGUGGGUAGCAAACAGGAUUAGAUACCCGGGUAGUC
rnacentral:rRNA from 1 species